UCUCCGUAGGUGAACCUGCGGAGGGAUCAUUACUGAGUGAGGGUUUAACCGCCCGACCUCCAACCCUUUGUGAAUCGUACUCGUUGCUUCGGGGGCGACCCUGCCUUUCGGCGCGGCGCCCCCGGAGGCUCAUCAAACACUGCAUCUUUGCGUCGGAGUGAUUUUGUAAAUCAAAACAAAACUUUCAACAGCGGAUCUCUUGGUUCUGGCAUCGAUGAAGAACGCAGC
rnacentral:misc_RNA from 1 species